GAUAAGCAAAGGGCAUUGAAUUUUGACCUCUAGUUUCAUGAAUUAGUAAUUGUGGUGAGUUUUGAUAUCCAUGUCUAAACCCUUUCUAAAAUCCACGAUACAGGAAGUUUUGUGCAUCAAGAUAUUUGCAAAAAUCCCAACGUAGGAUUGUUAAUGUUUUGGAUUGAUUGAUUGUUAUUAUGGUCAUUGACAUUGUUGACAUGUUAGCAGAGCCGGCAGCGGCAGGGCCUACUGAUAGGAAAUGAUUAUCACAGAUUAAGAUGGUGAUUGGCAGCAACUCAACUUUA
rnacentral:misc_RNA from 1 species